UUGGAUCCUGGCUUUUAGUUUUUACACUCUGAUUUAUUUCUUUGGAUAGUUUUGGUUAUUUAUUUUGCUUUUAGCUCACUCUUUGUUUUCAAUUGUCUGUCGUUUUGAGUCUUGCUUGUUUUUGUGUAUUGUCCUGUCUUGCCCGCACUCAGAUUUCCUGGCCACUGAACCCCACUGCCUGGAAGCAGCUCACCUCUCUCACGUGUCAAGUCUCCUCAUGCAGGUCUUGCUCUUGUGGUUUUGGAGCAUUUCUAUUCAUCAGAGUGGAUGCAGUUCAUUCAAAGCAGAGGAAUUGAGGAUGGUGCUUUUGGACAGAAUUUUGUUUAUGAAGCUUAUUAUUUCUCUGUGGAAUCAUUAGGCAUUUGGGCUCCAUUUGUCACCCUGAUUAAAGAGAGAGAACCCAUCAUGUGUGAGUGAGCCGGGGCCUUUAUGUCCUGCGGUGAUUCUGACUCUCAGGGUACUGAAGGAGCACAGGCCUGUUCCCUCCUCGAAUCAGGCUCAAGUCAUUAGGGGACUUCCAGAAUGUUCUCUAUUCUGUUGAGCAUGUAAAAAAAUGUGAAUGAUGUGAAUGACACUUACAACUGAUGUAAGAAGUCAACUUGGUCCUGACCUCUCAUUCCGACCGAAACAAGCAUAAAUGUGCUCAUCAUACCCACUUUACCUUUUCUGCCUUGGGUCCGUUGCCAUUAGAAUGACCAUUGAUUCACUGUGACAGAAACCACUGUGGUCUGUUUUAGGGUGAUUGGUGGAACUUCAGCUGAAGGAUUCAUUGGGAAAUGGCCCUUAUUUAAAUUGCAUCAGGUAUUCCACUUCUAACCAGGUACAAAACCAACAGUGAUGGAAAUUACCUGAACUCUACGCUUGCCCAGUCAAAAUGACAAUAGUUUGAGAAGACAUGGCUUGACAGUGUGCCAUUUAAAAGUCAGAAAACUCACAAGUCGUGUGGUAAGUAAUUGCAGAUGAUUGAAUGUUAGGAAAUGAUAAUAUUCUCCAUAUUCCCCACUGGUGUAAUGAGUUUUCUGCACCAGCAUCCACCCAACAUCUGCUGCCCCAGGAAAACGCCAAUCAGACUCAAUUACAUACUCACAUUAUAUCAGUCUCUUUGACUCAUCUGAACACAACUGCAGGAAGCACACAACCUCAAACACCUGCGUAUGAUGCAUUCAUUGAUGACUUGCCUGAUUAUUCACGGAUGCUGUAAAUAGGAGAUGGUUGGACAGAUGGAAUAAUCACAACAACAAAAAAUGGAUGUAACUGGAUAAAGAUUUUUUUUUUUUUUAAAGAAUGGUACUUGCAUGUUCAAAAUUGCUGGCAGGAUGCCAAGUCAGUUAGCAGAGUCAUGCUAUGAGGUUGUGAAGGUGUUCUGAGCAGUUUAGAGCAUUUCUAUGUAACUGAUAGAAGGUUUUGAGUAAUUGCUGCAUGAUCAGGU